UUAUAGUUCGAUUUCUAUGGCACCUUGAAUACACUCAAAUCAAGUUCAGUUUGUGUAUUCAGUUUCUACUCCUCCACCCUUGGCCGUAGCUGCAUUAGUUGCAACAAUAAUAUUAAGAAAUCAUAUGAAAUCUUGGAAAUCCUAACAAAUCACGUAAUUAAAAUAAAAUUAUUUGUCAAGUAAUCCCUCGUAAUCACUCUAUAAAAUAUAAUUACCUUGUACAACACUCUGGUCGGUUUGAAGCAAAUCAUGCAGUUUUUAAUGCAAUGUAGGUGCAAAGAAGAUACACUCUCGUAUGGGAGGAGAACAUAACUCGAGAUUAUAUUCACAUAAAUAUAAUUGCGAUUAGUGCAACAUUUUUGACGCACGCACUGUUCUGAAACAUUUCGAUUGGACUCCAGACCUAUGAUACUAGUUUCAGUUGUAUCUCGGUACUGAACAACGACAAUUUUUCGGGGCAUUGAGAAUUUUUACAUUAUUAUCUUCCAGUUUAUGUAAAUAAAGUAAAUUAAAGCUCUUAUAUUCGGGCAAAGGUCAAUUAAAUGUGCCUUAAUCGGACAGAUACGCGUGACACAUAUUUUUUUAAUCGAAACUGGACGCGUGCGCUUAGAUAUUUAUCAUCACUUAUCGCUUCAAUUGAAGUUCAACUUUAAAAGUUCAAAUUAGACAGUUUGAAGAAUAGACCUACCCACAUUACCCUGUAUAACGUUGUAUACAUUACAGCUAAUUUUUACAUCUACCAUGUUCGUUACCUGUUUUAAUAACGGCGACUUUAAUCGGGAAGAAUUGCAAAUUUUUCGGUGCGCAUUGAACUCAUAAUCGUGUUUUAAUAGAAUGCACUGCUGAACUAAGAAGAUCUGAGAAAACCAUGCUCAAAAAAUGUGAAUGCUAUCUAGUCAAGUAGAGGGGUUAUCAGUGUAGAUGAACGUCUGUACGAGAAGCUGUCUGUAUAAUUUGUGAUGCCUGACCUGGAUUCGUUUCCCUUCUUUGGUAUGACGGUCAAUGCUGCAGGAACGUACACAACGGCAGCUACUAAUGCCAAGGAAAAGUUGUGCAUUGAAAUGCAUAAAAGCAUCGUUGCCAAUUCUAUUAAUGCUAUCACAUAAAGUAAGGACGCAGUUUCGUAGGU